UACGGAGGGUGCAAGCGUUGCUCGGAAUUAUUGGGCGUAAAGGGUAGGUAGGUGGUCUUAUUUGUCUGGGGUGAAAGCCUUGAGCUUAACUCAAGAAGUGCCUCAGAAACGGUAAGACUAGAGUCCUGGAGAGGGUCGUGGAAUUCCCGGUGUAGCGGUGAAAUGCGUAGAGAUCGGGAGGAACACCAGAGGCGAAAGCGGCGACCUGGACAGGUACUGACACUCAACUACGAAAGCGUGGGGAGCAAACAGG
rnacentral:rRNA from 1 species